rnacentral:rRNA from 1 species
GAUGGACGCUGGCGGCGUGCUUAACACAUGCAAGUCGAACGAAGCAUUUGCGACAGAUUUUUUCGGAAUGAAGUUGCUUAUGACUGAGUGGCGGACGGGUGAGUAACGCGUGGGUAACCUGCCUUGUACUGGGGGAUAGCAGCUGGAAACGGCUGGUAAUACCGCAUAAGCGCACAAUGUUGCAUGACAUGGUGUGAAAAACUCCGGUGGUAUAAGAUGGACCCGCGUCUGAUUAGCUAGUUGGUGAGAUAACAGCCCACCAAGGCGACGAUCAGUAGCCGACCUGAGAGGGUGACCGGCCACAUUGGGACUGAGACACGGCCCAGACUCCUACGGGAGGCAGCAGUGGGGAAUAUUGCACAAUGGAGGAAAAUCUGAUGCAGCGACGCCGCGUGAGUGAAGAAGUAAUUCGUUAUGUAAAGCUCUAUCAGCAGGGAAGAUAGUGACGGUACCUGACUAAGAAGCUCCGGCUAAAUACGUG